ensembl:snoRNA
AUCCUUUUGCAGUUCAUAAGUGUGAUAAUUGGGUGUUCAUGCGAAUAUGUGAGAUGUUGCCACCCUCAAACCUUAUUAUGACAUCUGCACAUUACCCAUCUGACA